GUGAAUCAUCAAAUUUUUGAACGCAAAUUGCACUCUCUUCGGAGAGUAUGCCUGUUUGAGGGUCAGUAUUAAUAAAAAUCGGUGUGUUGCUUCUUUGUGACGCUCCGGAGAAUGAGUCACCUUAAUAACCUUAACAUUUUAAGAGGCUUAAAAUUGACUUUUUUUGCGCAUUUUUGAUGUACAUAAAUUCUUUUUUUCACUCAUCUGAAUAAACACCAAACAAAUACACAAUCC
rnacentral:misc_RNA from 1 species